ensembl:antisense 2310040G07Rik RIKEN cDNA 2310040G07 gene
AGGAGACAGCUCGAGGACGAUGAAGUUCUUCCACGCUCUGGACGCAAUCCUGCAGUCUGAACCGACCGCACGGUUAGCAGAGGAGGAUGGUUGCUGCAGCAAGUGCCUGGCAACCCUGAGCCCAGUUACAGCCCCAGAGAUCACCGAAGAAACAAGGUCUACACCUGUCAAGAAAACAUCUCCUGAGACCACUGCAAACUGGUUUCCUCAAAGCUUAACAGAACUGGAAGGUUCUACAGGAUGUUUCUUCCAUCAGGACCCUCACCUCCACCAGGUCAGUUUCACACGUGUUGAGAAGUAUAAAAAUAUGUAGCAUUAGCCAUUGGCUUUAAUUUCUGUUUCUGAACGGGACCACUCACCGACAGAGGACAUGCUCAUUUCCUAAUUAACAACAAAUCUAUCAUCUUCUUUCCCUUACUGUAACAAAAUACAAGAGAAGCUAGGCACUUUGUACUUUCUUUG